UACGUAGGGUGCAGGCGUUAAUCGGAAUUGCUGGGCGUAAAGCGUGCGCAGGCGGUCUGCUAAGAGAGAUGUGAAAUCCCCGGGCUUAACCUGGGAACUGCGUUUCUAACUGGCAGGCUAGAGUGUGGCAGAGGGGGGUGGAAUUCCACGUGUAGCAGUGAAAUGCGUAGAGAUGUGGAGGAACACCGAUGGCGAAGGCAGCCCCCUGGGCUAACACUGACGCUCAUGCACGAAAGCGUGGGGAGCAAACAGG
rnacentral:rRNA from 1 species